rnacentral:lncRNA from 1 species
GGAUCACUUCAUCUUUCUAUCUAAUUCUUUUUCACUGAAAAACAAGAACAUGUCUGUGUUCUGACACUUGUUAUGGCUCUUCAGUAAGGAUUCAAUGCUUAGUGCUUACUCCAAGUGAUGCUCCAGCUCAGUAAGUUGUGCCAGGUCCGUGCCAAUGCUGAGAGCCAGACCCGAGCCUGUACGGAAGGUAAUGAGUGGUGAUUGCCAAAUUACUGUAAUGAGAGCAAUGUCGUGUCAGGAGAUGCAGCACUGCUGCCCGGUGCUUCCAGCUGCCCUGUGCCUUGCCUUGUGCUCACAUUGUAGGGCUGUUGCUUGGUGCUGCCUUGGUACAGGCUGCUGUCCUGAUGGAUCCCCUCUCACCUUACCUCCUGCUUCUGCUCCCUUGGUGCUGCAUACAGGAUGGCUGCAGCGCCAGCUGUGGACAUAUUGUGUCUCUGAACCCACUUGGGCCAUACUGCACACACAGGCUGUAGUUCUUGCUGCUCUGGGUUCUUACUUAAUUGCUGCACUGCUAGGAGGGCAGUGCAAGCUUGUGUCUGCCUAUCUGCCGUGUUUGUGGUGGCAAAAUACUCCAAAUUUAGGAAGCUGUCAGCCACUCAAAACUCAGGUGGUUGGGGUGUCCUGCAUGGAGUUGUUUUUGUGGAUAUGUCCCAGGUUGUCACUGGGAACUUCUGGUGUCUUUUUUCCUCGGUUUGUUUGUGUGGCUGCUUGGAAAGCUUUGCUGCAUGUUUCUGAUACACAAAUCAUGACUGAUGUGUUCGUACGCUUGUUCACAGCAAAACCCAACUGUUUUGUAAGAAUCACCGAUUAUAAAAACGAUUUGGAAAUGCUUGAGAGAAUCCUGAUAAGCAGUUGCAGGGAAGGGAAAAGGAUCCCCGGCGGCAGGGACAGACCCUGCCCAGCAGCGGGGACACGCGGCUCACCGUGCCACGGAACAGCCGGGCAGAGCACGGCGUGCCUCGAGCGGGCUGCCAGGGAGGAUGGUGCCUUCCGAAGGAGACAUCUGGAGCUCACAUCCUCUCCCCCGAGCUAUUUCCUCGCCCUCUGUGCCCCCCUGUACCCCGCCUCAGUGAGAUCACUGCUUUCCCCUUCAGAACCCAGGCUUCGUAGCUUUUCUGGCUUGUGGGAAGGUCAGGGAAUUCCGUGAAGUCAGCGGUAAAGCAUGAAGCUGAUCG